rnacentral:sRNA from 1 species
GAAGCACCUGGCUCGCCUGAUCUGUCAUCCUUGUCGUCAGACUCCAGCCUGACUGAAACCAUCAACGAGGUUUUCUCGGAUGGCCAGUGGCUCUUGAGUGAAGGGGAGGCUGUCGGUGUACCACUAAAUCAUGCUAAACGGAAAGAGUUGUUACUGCACAGAAAUCACA